UACGGAGGGUGCAAGCGUUAAUCGGAAUUACUGGGCGUAAAGCGCGCGUAGGUGGCUUGAUAAGCCGGUUGUGAAAGCCCCGGGCUCAACCUGGGAAUGGCAUUGGGAACUGUCAGGCUCGAGGGCAGGAGGGGAAGGUAGAAUUCCAGGUGUAGCGGUGAAAUGCGUAGAGAUCGGGAGGAAUACCAGUGGCGAAGGCGGCCUUCUGGACUGACACUGACACUGAGGUGCGAAAGCGUGGGUAGCAAACAGG
rnacentral:misc_RNA from 1 species